UCGCUGCGGGCUCAGCGACUCGGUUUAUCUGGAAAUAUUCUACCUAGGAGUCAGCUAAGCACUUCCUAUGGUACCCUUGAAUGUAAGACUCGCUGGCCACCGGAGCCAGGAGAGCAGGUGGCAUCUUCUGGGCAGAAGCUGCAAAAACCAGGCAUCAGACAUGCACACGAGCUUCUUUCCGGGAAAUACCAGUGACCUGGGGUGAGGAAGCCUGUCCCCCACACUUCUAAGGAAUAAAGAACCCAAGGCAUGAAAAGACAAUUUGCAAAGAAUGACAGUAACCAAGCAGAGUAAUGCUGAGCUGAACUGAAUUAACGGUAGCUGAGUGGCCUGGGCUGGUAAGAAGACUAUUGUGGGGAAGAUUUCAAGCAAUCCUGAAGGCAAACAGCUGCAGCAGGGAGCAAAAUUCUGGUGAGAGUUUCAACAAACCUUCCCUAAGUCUGACAUCACCGGAUCUUACUGUAACUUGCUUAUUAGUUUGUGCCUUUCCCCUGCCAGCAUCACAGGGGUGCUUACGAAAGCUCAUGUAAACUGGGAACUGAAAAGGUCCUUGGAAAUCCAUCCAAUCUAAAUUCUUCCUGCAAAUAAGGAAAACAGGCCCAGUGCGGUCAGUAACUUGGUUGAGGGCCCUACAGUUCCUCAGUGGCAAAGAAAUCAGAAUCCAGUUCUAAUAUAAGUAUCUAAUUGACAUGUCAACUCAAUAGUCGGCAUAAAAAAAAAUGGGUUCAGACUAAAUUCAUACUCACUCAGUUCUGCCCAAGGUAAACAAACGCUGCCUCCCAGGCACAGAGAAACCUUUACAUCAGAGACUGCUAUUUCAUUAAGGUCCCAAAGAGCUAUGGUGAAACAGUCACUCAAACCACUCCUUCUCUCUGUUCCAAUACUGCCCAUACACUGGAAUGCCGAUUUAUUUAUAUAUAAUGGACUCCAUCCCCCACCAUACACCAAGAACCUAACUGACUCAAGAUACAUCCUAAGAAAGAUAAGGUAUUUCACCAGAUAAUUAAGGACUGAACCAUGGAAACUGUGGAAUUUAAGUGAAGGCUGGUUUCAGGAGGCUCUGCCUGGAACCAGCCAACACUACACAAGUCUCUCAUCAGUUCACUAACAAAAAAACAAAUGUGAUGGGAAUGUUUAUAUUAUACAGGUCUUUAACUAAUUUAAUAAUGGCAGCUAUAGACAAUAAAACUCAAAAGUUAUAGCUGGUAGCUGUUUAACUAUUUGAAGAAUGCAUAUACUACGAUGCAAACUUAAACUGGGCUUAAAGUAAGUGAAGAACACAAACAUAUCAAUUGCAAAGAAGCAAUCUAGAAAAAUAAUGUAAUUAACCACUUUUGAUUUUAUAUUAUAAGUUAAAAGUAUAUUAUAAAAUGAAUACUCUAUCAUCUAGAAAUAAUUGAAAUACCUUCCAAGUCAUUCCUUUGUUCCUUAAGAUUGCUCUUGAAAGAGACCAGAAGUAAAUUCCUCAAUUAUUUUUAAUCUUAUUCUUGAAGAGUGACCAUCCCUUCCAGAACUAUCCUUUUUCUAGAGGAAUAAUCCCCAACAGAUUCUCAGCAGUGCAUUCUACACCACAUCACUACAAUACAAUCUAGGACUUUAUCGAAAUUACUGUAAUAGGAUUAUUAGUAUACUAGAAAGAAGCAUUUUCCUGACUUUCCACAGCUGUGAAAAGCAGAAAUAGACUGCUUUAAAGUCCCAGAGCUAUCUCAGCCGACAUACUCUUUUGUUAAUCAACACUGGCAAUGAAGAAUGCAAAUAUUCCAUAACUCAGUAACUGUACCCUUCUACCUCCCACCCAUCCAGCAAAUUAAAGGGAAGACUAUACCAAGAUCAUACAAAUAGUAAUUACAUUAACCUAAGCUUUAAAUCUUUACAAGUGGAUCUCUCUCUCCAAAUCCUAGGUUAUUUCUUCUCCCUCAUUUUUUUUUUCCGAUCCAAGUACUACAGAGUCUACCUCCCCAACAGCUGUUAAAUUUGUCCCUUCCUCUCCUUUUACAUUGCUUUAGUUCAGGUCCUCAAUAUCCCUUACCUAAACUACUAUAAUCCCACUUUUUACAAAACUGAAUUAUCUUUUAAAAUGCAAACUGGAUCAUUUUACUUCUCAACUUAACUUUCCAGGUCCUUUGUUGCUGAAGUGUCUUAUAAUCUCUUAAAAGGUUAUACAGAUCUGAACUAUCUGUGCCCCACAUUGCUUAGCUAUCCCCAGGUACAGCUCAUGCUCUCGCCUAGUUUGUGGAACCUGGUGUUUCACGCCUCCUUGAGUAGAUACCUUUCUCUUUCCCCAUCAUCAGGAUGACAAAAUCCUACACAAAAAUCAAAUAUUACCAUCUCUGAGUCUUCAAUGACCCUCCUGUUAAAACAGGUACAUAUUAGCACUCUGAAUAAUACAUGAGGGGGGAAGAGAAAGGUAUCCACUCAAGGAGGCACUUCCUUAUAAUUAAUUUUAUGUAACUAACUCUCUCCACUAGAAAGGGUCUUUGAUCUUUAUUUUGUAUGUUAAAGGCAGAGCCCAGGGCCUGGCACAUGGAAUUAAACCAAUAAAUAUUUGUAAUACAUACAGGCAACAUGUAAAAAAACCUCACAAUAAUUAAAGUGGAAAAUUAUAAUUAUUCAUGACAAAAGUUUUUGUCAAACAUUAAAAACUUUUAAGUGUACAAAGGGAAAUGAAAAAAUAGUAAAGCUGGAAUUUACUGCAUUGUAGUUUAAAACAUUAGAAACAACGAGAACUGAAGUGUUACAUUUCUUUGUAAAAACUUACCAAGAAUAGUUUGAAUACUACUUGUCUAUGCCUUGGCAAAUUGUCAUACUCCUAAGUUUGGAUCAUUUUCCAAUAUUUUAUCCUCUGUAUCUUCAAUGCUAAGAGUUCCUUUAACAUGAAGUUUUUUACUGAUGUCAGUUUCUUUGAGACAUCUUUGUGUUUUUCUGUCAUACCACUUUUCUCAAUUAUGUCAAUAAACCUGCCAUCACUGAAUUCCUUUGGCUGUGUAUCUAGAGUCAAAUGGCGACAGCACUCACAUUCCCAUGGUGAGCGGUUUCUUCUAAGGCUCCAUUUAUGUUUGAUUCAAAUUUCACUUCUAGCAUCAU